rnacentral:lncRNA from 1 species
UCUCAAUGCAUCUUGGAUGAACCGACUCCCUCUCAAUUCAAGAUGCUGCAAAUGGAGUCAUAAGAUGGCUCCAUCGAUCCGAUCAACCACUUAGAUAGCUAUAAGGCUCUCAUGAUGAUCUAGGGGGCAACCGAUGUCCUCUUAUGCAUUAGUUUUUCAGCAACUCUUCGGAAGGCUGCUCGAGCCUAAUAUUUCGAGCUUCAGUCGGGGAGC